CCGCCACUAGCUCAUCAGGAGAGAGCAUCAGCCUUCUAAGCUGACUGUGCGGGGUUCGAGUCCCCGGUGGGCGGUCCA
rnacentral:tRNA from 1 species